rnacentral:rRNA from 1 species
AUACGUAGGGUGCAAGCGUUAUCCGGAAUUAUUGGGCGUAAAGCGUUCGUAGGCGGUUUAGAAAGUUUGUAGUUAAAUAUGGUCGCUCAACGAUCAAGUCGCUACAAAAACUCCUAAACUUGAGAUUGGCAGAGGCAACUGGAAUUCCACAUGUAGGGGUAGAAUCCGUUGAUAUGUGGAGGAACACCAAAAGCGAAGGCAGGUUGCUGGGCCAUUUCUGACGCUGAGGAACGAAAGCGUGGGGAGCAAACAGGAUUAGAAACCCCGGUAGUCC